rnacentral:rRNA from 1 species
GGGUCAGUAGGUUGGUCGUGCCACCGGUACGUACUGGUCUCACUGAUUCCUCCUUCCUGAAGAACCGUAAUGCCAUUAAUUUGGUGUUGCGGGGAAACAGGACUGUUACUUUGAAAAAAUUAGAGUGUUUAAAGCAAGCUAACGCUUGAAUACUUUAGCAUGGAAUAAUGAAAUAGGACGAUCGAUCCUAUUUUGUUGGUUUCUAGGAUUGACGUA